GAUGAACGCUGGCGGCGUGCCUAAUACAUGCAAGUCGAGCGAACAGACGAGGAGCUUGCUCCUUUGACGUUAGCGGCGGACGGGUGAGUAACACGUAGGUAACCUACCUAUAAGACUGGGAUAACUUCGGGAAACCGGAGCUAAUACCGGAUAAUAUUUCGAACCGCAUGGUUCGAUAGUGAAAGAUGGCUUUGCUAUCACUUAUAGAUGGACCUGCGCCGUAUUAGCUAGUUGGUAAGGUAACGGCUUACCAAGGCAACGAUGCGUAGCCGACCUGAGAGGGUGAUCGGCCACACUGGAACUGAGACACGGUCCAGACUCCUACGGGAGGCAGCAGUAGGGAAUCUUCCGCAAAGGGCGAAAGCCUGACGGAGCAACGCCGCGUGAGUGAUGAAGGUCUUCGGAUCGUAAAACUCUGUUAUUAGGGAAGAACAAACGUGUAAGUAACUGUGCACGUCUUGACGGUACCUAAUCAGAAAGCCACGGCUAACUACGUG
rnacentral:rRNA from 1 species